rnacentral:rRNA from 1 species
AGCGAACGCUGUCGGCAGGCCUAACACAUGCAAGUCGAACGAACUCUUCGGAGUUAGUGGCGGACGGGUGAGUAACACGUGGGAACGUGCCUUUAGGUUCGGAAUAACUCAGGGAAACUUGUGCUAAUACCGAAUGUGCCCUUCGGGGGAAAGAUUUAUCGCCUUUAGAGCGGCCCGCGUCUGUUUAGCUAGUUGGUGAGGUAAAGGCUCACCAAGGCGACGAUCAGUAGCUGGUCUGAGAGGAUGAUCAGCCACAUUGGGACUGAGACACGGCCCAAACUCCUACGGGAGGCAGCAGUGGGGAAUCUUGCGCAAUGGGCGAAAGCCUGACGCAGCCAUGCCGCGUGAAUGAUGAAGGUCUUAGGAUUGUAAAAUUCUUUCACCGGGGACGAUAAUGACGGUACCCGGAGAAGAAGCCCCGGCUAACUUCGUG